GUCAUCCGCUGCAGUCAUUUAUCCUCUGCACUCUGUCAAGCUGUGGGUAUCUGUGACAACAACCGUCCACUGAAAAAUAACCUUCUCUGAUGAAGGAUGAGGGCGGCACUGAUCGAAGGGUAUAAAGAGAGUUUUCCGGAUUCUCCAGGUUCUUCAAAUUAAACAGGCAAAUUCUGCAACAUCAAAGGCUUGAAUCUCUCCUAUGAAGUAGUGACAUCAAAAUAGACUACAUUGACUGUGUUUCAGACAUCUGUCAUUCCUACAUGGGUGCAACUCUCCUCCUGAUGAGGACUCAGACUCAAACUCUCUCCUAGAAGAAAACAGCACAAGGCAUCCUUUGUCAUUAGGCUUCUCGCUGUCAGUGUGAAGAUUCUUUGUGCUCUUUGAGACCAGAGAUCAUGCUCCAGAUGGGUUAGAAAGCCCAGGUACACAUGUCAGGGGCUAGACUCCAGCUUACACAGGCACACUGCUGGACCAACUGCUGGACGGCUGUCUGCCAUCACUGCAGAUCUCCCCUGCUGGCGGCUCUUAUUCCAGCUACUGACAGGGCCCUCCCAUUUGCCCUGCAUCAACUUGGGCAGGCAGGAAGGCACAACUGGGGACGGUAGAGCAAUGUGGAGCUGCUGUGACCACAGCCUGUGCCAACAACCUGGCACACAACCCAUCCUUCGCCCUUCCUCCUCACUUGGCGCUGAAAUCAGAACUGACAAGCAUCUAAAAUCUACUGAAUACCAAUCCUGUGAAGAUUUCUUAUUUGUUACUAUAAUUUUACAAUUUAAAAUUUAUUUAGCCUUGUGUGCUAAGAAAGGAAGGUAUUUCCAUCACCCAUUUACCACAAGGACUGGUGUACAUAGUUUGAUAGACACAUUUUAAGACACAUCAACGUAAUUCCAAAUGUACUGAAAGAAACUGUGCAGAAGAAAUGGAAACAAUAUACUAUAAACAGCAGUUAGCUAUUUUAUUUUAAGGAAGUAUUUCUGAGUAAGACAAAGGGAUUUUAAAGAUUUUGUAUGUAGAACACCUCCAGCAACACAACACAUGUAUACACACACACACACCUCCUCAAGUUGGUGGGAAUAUUUCCUCCAGAAGCAAAGACCAAUUUUAAAGCCCCGUCAUCAACACAGGGACCCUUAUAUGUACAAAAUAAACAUAUCCUGUUUUCUUUGUCCCUUCAAGAACUCACUCACAGUCCCCCCUUUAUCCUUUGUCCCACACUUUAUCUACAUUCCCAGGUGACAGAGCCAAUGACCUUUUUCUGCUCAGUUUUAAUGCAACAUGGUAGUGGAUUCCAAAUACCCCUGAUUAUCUUGCUGGGACUAAGCCCCAAAGUCACCAUUGUCCAGCAAUAAACCUGUGACAAGCUUGAACACCUCUCAUUGCCCUUGUAUCAGCUAGUUGGUGAAGAAUCUUGCCUCCCUCCAAGUAGUGUCUAGUCCACUAUAAAUUAUAAAGGUCAAAGUUAGAACAAUACUAUCUAUUUCUGGCCUAAGAGACAAUGAAAAUUUUAAAAAUGUCUAAAUCAUAGAUUCUUGUUCCCUACCUUUAUCCUGUCUCCUAUCCUCUUUAAUACUCCACAUAUAUUAAGGAUUCACAUUGGUCUUGUGGUCUUCCCUGAAUUAUCACGUUUUUAACUUUAGACACAUGCCCAGAUUGCUUAAUUUUUAUAGUAAAUGACUGGCAAAGCCAAAACUCUCCAAAGUUCAGCCUAAGAGUGGAACCCCAAAUUAGGGCAUGCAUGAUCUGGUGUUAUUCAAUGAUAGUAAUAAAGAUGCUUACAUAAAAUGGG